rnacentral:lncRNA from 1 species
ACCAAUAAGGAAAAGAUAUCAAUCAAUCAGUCAGUUAGGGCUUAAUAAGAAUCAAUUAAUAGUCAGAAUCAUGGAGGCAUCGCUUAAAAUAAUAUGGAAUAAAUCAGCAGCCGAUAUUGAGGUCUCAAUAAGGUAAGUAGUAGGUCUAGAAGUCAAUUAAAAGUCAGAACACAAAAUCGGGCCAAUACCAAGGAUAAUUAAUCACAUAAAUAAGUUAAACAGGUAAAAAUAUUACAAAGGAGAUGCAGGUACUAAGUUCAAGCCCUAAUUUGGGUAAUAAUAUCAAUUAACAUUUAAUUGACAGGAUUAAAGGUAAACGAGCAAAACACAAUAGGAUAGGCAAUCAAACAUUCAAAACCCUAAAAACACAAAGAGAUAUACAUGUAGUUGGAUUAAAUCAAGAAAAAAAUCGGUCGAAGAGUAAAUAAGAAAAUCAGAGAUGAGAACAUUUUAAGCGCUAAAACCUUUUUGUAGAAAUCCCUCAUAAACCAAAAAC